CCUACGGGUGGCAGCAGUGAGGAAUAUUGGUCAAUGGGCGUAAGCCUGAACCAGCCAAGUCGCGUGAGGGAUGAAGGUUCUAUGGAUCGUAAACCUCUUUUAUAAGGGAAUACAGUGUGGGACGUGUCCUAUAUUGUAUGUACCUUAUGAAUAAGGAUCGGCGAACACCGUGCCAGCAGCCGCGGUAAUACGGAGGAUCCGAGCGGUAUCCGGAUUUAUUGGGUUUAAAGGGUGCGCAGGCGGAUUUUUAAGUCAGCGGUAAAAUCGUGGGGCUCAACCCCAUACAGCCGUUGAAACUGGGGAUCUAGAGUGUGCGAGAGGUAUGCGGAAUGCGUGGUGUAGCGGUGAAAUGCAUAGAUAUCACGCAGAACCCCGAUUGCGAAGGCAGCAUACCGGUGCACAACUGACGCUGAGGCACGAAAGCGUGGGUAUCGAACAGGAUUAGAUACCCCAGUAGUC
rnacentral:rRNA from 1 species